rnacentral:rRNA from 1 species
AUUGAACGCUGGCGGCAGGCCUAACACAUGCAAGUCGAACGAGUGGCGGACGGGUGAGUAAUGUCUGGGAAACUGCCCGAUGGAGGGGGAUAACUACUGGAAACGGUAGCUAAUACCGCAUACCAUCGGAUGUGCCCAGAUGGGAUUAGCUAGUAGGUGGGGUAACGGCUCACCUAGGCGACGAUCCCUAGCUGGUCUGAGAGGAUGACCAGCACCACGGGAACUGAGACACGGCCCAGACUCCUACGGGAGGGCGCAGGGGGGAAUAGUGCAAAAUGGGCGGAAGCCUGAUGCAGCCAUGCCGCGGGUAUGAAGAAGGCCUUCGGGUUGUAAAGUACUUUCAGCGAGGAGGCGUUACUCGCAGAAGAAGCACCGGCUAACUCCGUGCCAGCAGCCGCGGUAAUUC